AUUGAACGCUGGCGGCAUGCUUUACACAUGCAAGUCGGACGAGUGGCGAACGGGUGAGUAAUAUAUUGGAACGUACCGAGUAAUGGGGGUAAACAAAUCAAAGGAUGGGUUAUAACCCAAAAUAUUUCAACGGGCCAAUAUCUGAUUGGCUAGUUGGUGGGGUAAAGGCUUACCAAGGCGACGAUAAGUAGCGGGUCUGAGAGGAUGAUCCGCCACACUGGGACUGAGACACGGCCCAGACUCCUACGGGAGGCAGCAGUGGGGAAUUUUGGACAAUGGGCGCAAGCCUGAUCCAGCCAUGCCGCGUGUCUGAAGAAGGCCUUCGGGUUGUAAAGGACUUUUGUUAGGGAAGCGGUACCUAAAGAAUAAGCACCGGCUAACUACGUGCCAGCCGCCGCGGUAAUAC
rnacentral:rRNA from 1 species